GGGAAACCCACAUGAAAAGACUUCAUGUAUCCAUACGCCAAUCCAUAACGUAUGGAGGGGAACCUGGUGAACUGAAACAUCUAAGUAACCAGAGGAGGAGAAAGAAAACUCGAUUUCCUAAGUAGCGGCGAGCGAACGGGAAAGAGCCCAAACCAGCGUGUGUGCAUGCUGGGUUCGGACUGCAGAAAUGAUUCGUCAAGGGUAAUGGAACGGUUUUGGGAAAGCCGGCCAGAGAGGGUGAAAGCCCCGUACAUGAAACCUGAGAUGAC
rnacentral:rRNA from 1 species